AUGUUUUACAAGGUAACCAUUUUGUUAUAUUUGGCUUUUUUUUUGUGGUUUGCAAACUCUUUACAGCAACUAGAAAACCAAGUGCGUGUUUGGAUUCAAGGUGAAUUUGACAAAACCUCAACGAGCCAACAUGAUUCCUAUUAUAAGUUUAGGAAGUUUGCAUUCUUAUGUUUUCCAGAAUUGUGUAUACACCAUGUUGAAUUGUUGAGUUUUUAUAACCGCAGGAUUAUGGCUGGUCCUUCAGUGAAGUCUUUCAGAAUGGUGGUUCAGUUCAACAGUUGA